CAGGGACAAGUAACCCGGAUGCUCCCCGGUGUAACAAACAUGUCCAACAGUGUCGCACACUCCUCAUGUUUGUUGCUUUUUUGCGGCUCUUUUCGCUCCCGGGAGAACGGCGGAGGUGUCGCUACGGAAUGUGGAGGUCAACUAGAGCCAGCAGGCUGUGUUCCGGAAGACACUAUAUGCCAACACCACCAUCUUCAUGAAGU